CUCCUGGAGACACAAGAGAAGCACAGAGACGACGUCACACAUGUACCCGGCACAAGCAGGCCACUGGCGCUGCAGGGGCGGGGCCAAAGCCCAAAACGCUAUUUAAGAAGGCCACACUCAGAUACCACGGAGCUGUCACAAUGGGCUUUUGUGCGAGGCCUCAGAUCCUGUAACCCUAAACCCGGCCGCUGAUCGGACCCCUCCAUGGCGGUCAGAGGCAGAGAGUAUCCUCCUCUGGUGACUGCCGUUAUUGGUGGUCAUCACUGGUGUUUGUAACGCUUCAGACAGACCAAGCCGCAUCUACCACACAGGCACCGUAAGUUAGGAAAUGAUCACGGGCUUGAAA